UUGAUGGAGAGUUUGAUCCUGGCUCAGGACGAACGCUGGCGGCGUGCUUAACACAUGCAAGUCGAGCGGAAAGGC
rnacentral:rRNA from 1 species